GCCGGCUUAGCUCAGUUGGUAGAGCAACUGAUUUGUAAUCAGUAGGUCGUCAGUUCGAUUCUGACAGCCGGCACCA
rnacentral:tRNA from 3 species